rnacentral:rRNA from 1 species
UACGGGGGGUGCGAGCGUUGUCCGGAAUCACUGGGCGUAAAGGGCGCGUAGGUGGCUUGGUAAGCGUGUGGUGAAAGCCCCGGGGGCUCAACCCCGGGUCUGCCAUGCGAACUGCUAUGGCUUGAGCACUGUAGAGGCAGGUAGAAUUCCGGGUGUAGCGGUGGAAUGCGUAGAGAGUCCGGAAGAAUACCGGUGGCGAAGGCGGCCGCUGGGCAGGUGGCUGACACUGAGG